GAAAGGUGUUGCUCAGUUAAUAAAGUUGUUCCUCUUUACCUUUAGUGUUGCUGGAGUUCCUGCGUUGUUAGUAGCUUUUUUAUAUCAAUAGAGUGUUUUGCACUGGUCCAGACUGUUAGCAAAUCUGGACUUAUAACACGCCUAAUUUUGUCCUACCCCUUUGAGCCCUGAGCGCACGUAAUUUGGAAAAUUUUCAUUGUCAUGAACCGAAGGUUCACACAAGGAGAGGACCCAAACGCCGACACCAGAAUUCACAAGAGUCUUUAUUAAUCAGCAGAAAACAUUAGGGAAUGCGAUUCUGGUUAGAUAUGGCAAUGGGGAAAUGGCGACUUGAGCAGGGAAGGGUGGCCCUAGGAAACUGGACCAUGAAACAGGAAGUCAUGCGAGGGACGGAGGAACGAGAGGAAUUCUGCAACAGAAGAAGGCGGCGUUAUUUUUUGGAUGGAUCCCAGGUGAUGUGCUGGAAGCCCCACCCCUAAGGAAUGGACAGAGGACCAACUGCCACAGGUGGAAAAAGCCCCAGACACUCCCACGGACCAUGACAUUCAUAGUGUGAAGAUACCAAACACUGGUGGAUAAACUGUGCCAGAGACAACAGUAGCUAAUAUUGGAGAAUUAGAGGAGGAAGGAAAGAGGUCAAGUGAGAUCGUGCAUGGACUGAAGGAUUUGAUAGAUCACCAGCCUGUCCUGUUUGCACACAGCUUGAUGU